rnacentral:rRNA from 1 species
UACAGAGGUCUCAAGCGUUGUUCGGAUUCAUUGGGCGUAAAGGGUGCGUAGGCGGCGCGGUAAGUCGGGGUGUGAAAUCUCGGGAGCUUAACUCCGAAACUGCAUUCGAUACUGCGGUGCUUGAGGACUGGAGAGGAGACUGGAAUUUACGGUGUAGCAGUGAAAUGCGUAGAGAUCGUAAGGAAGACCAGUGGCGAAGGCGGGUCUCUGGACAGUUCCUGACACUGAGGCACGAAGGCCAGGGGGAGCAAAACGGGG